UACUCUUUUCAAAGCCUCUUUCCAAAAACUUUUCUUUUCAAGUGGCAUUUUAAAUAUCAUUUAGUGCUUGAGUCCUUACUUGAGAUCAUUUUAAUUACUUAUUUAAUGGGAAUAUUCUUUUUAAUUUGGCCAUGUCUAUUUAAAAUCUGAAUUUCUGGGUUUUCAAUUGAUUUUAGAACCACUCCUUUUCCCUAAUUAUAAAGUUCUCCUUCAAGUAGAAGUUUUUGAAAAUCAUGUUGGGACUUGAGUGCUUGCAUCAAAACAUUUCUUUUCUUCUCACAAAUUCAUUGGAUAACCUUUUCGUAAAUAUUUUUUCCAAGGUUUCUUUUAUUCAAAAAUGACUCUUAAUUUCCUUAAGGCCCUCUUUUACACUUCAACCUUUUGAUAUCUCCCUCUAAUAAUUAUACAAAAAUUUGUAGGUGACAUGUGAUGUCCCUAAAUUAUAUUUAUGUAAAAACUUAUCCAAGUGUCUUUGAAAAUUUGAGCACAUUCCGUGUCAAAAAAAAUUGAGCACAUUAUCUUCUUUUCUGUUCUAGUGCAGUUUGGUACUUUGUACUACAACCAUGUUUUUCUUUGAUCUAGUUGCCCUUAGAUUUUUCAUGCUUCUAGCACACCCUACCAAAACCUUAAGUCCAUGAUUUGAGCACCAUUGGAGGAUGUUACAUGCUUGUAAUAAUAGUCUUAACUUGCUGACCAGAAUUGACUUUCUCACAUCUUUGAACUAACAAGUUUAACUUUUUGCCAUACUAACUUGACCAUCAUAACUAACACCUAAGGAGACCUUUACCUGGUAAUUUUUGUGGCGAGAGGAGCUCCCUGGGUGCCCUUGACAUUAUGUCGAACACCUUGAGUUCAUGUACUGAUUUGGCAUGCACUUUUGUGUGCAUUGUAGAGUUGCUCAACUAGCCCAGCCAGGAUGUCUAGGAUGUUUGGCUUGACGAGCAACCCCACUCUGGUGAUUUUGGUGAGCACUCGAACCCUGUAACCAUGCCAGGCUUUCUGUCAAGCACCGUGGGUGCAUGCCUAGAGCGCGCCCGGAGCGCGCCUUUUGCGGCCUGCGCGUACGAGCCGCCGGGUCCCACUAAACCCCGCAGACUAGCUCGUGUACGCUUGUAGAGCCACCCCAGAACCCCUCCAAGCCUGAAGAGGCACUGCCGUGCUCUGGCACACUCAGAGUGCCACCGCAGCUAGCUCCCUGGCAGCACACCUGCAGUCACGUCUGCUCCUGCCAUGGCCAGCGCCGCACGAGCUCUGGCCGAGCGCGAGCUAGCCUUUGGGACCCCCUCUGCAUCGAUAGCAUGCUUCCGGUCCUGCUGCCGCCACUACCAUGCGCUGCAGCCCCUGCCGUGCCUGAGCUCUAGCCGCCGUCGCUGCCUACUGUGCCUAGCCCCGAUCAAGCCACCUGGUGCACCCCACUACCACCAGGACGUCGUGCUCAUCCACAACUGUGUCGUCUUCCCCGUCAAACCCCUCUGACCAGGUCCACACCUCCCCUUUGUUGCAAUAAUGGUCGUCGUCCCUGUGCUUAUCCUCUCGCACCGUUGAACCGACUUUGGCCGCCUAUUUAAGCCCCUACCAAGCUCACUGAGCCACCCACACCAUCCCCAGUAGCCUCCCUGCCAAAGCAACCGGGUCCCCGUGCUCCAUUUUGUCGUCAUCGGCCGCCACUGCCAUGAGCAAACCUCCGGUCAAUACCGGCAACCCAAAGCCCUUUUUAGCUCACCAUAGCUUAGGCUAGCUCCUCUAUCGCCCCGAGAACCCGUUCCCUCCAUCAAAUUGCGACAUGGCAACCGCAGGCCGAUGUCGUGCUCGCCGGAGUUCCCGGUCCGUUGUUGAUGAAAGGGUGCUCGCCCUCAACCUCCCCAAAAGCCCGUGUACCCUCCAGAGGAUGGGGUCCUCACCGUGUAACACAAUGGUGUGCUCAGCUCCGGGAACAAAGCCUCCUAGAGCCAUCGAGCGUUGUCGGAGUUUGCCCCUGAUCCUGUUUCCUACGCAUGAGAGGAGGACGGGGAAACCCAACAGGAGGUACCCGCCUGUCAGCGAGGCAAGCCCCGGAGAUGAUCGCGCAACCGCGCCAGUACGUUUCCCUUCAGAGGAGGCGCAUUCCAGUAGGAAUUUGGAGUGAGAAAACUUCCUUCAAGAUUUUUGGGUGCAGACCACCCUCCUCAACCCCAAAGGCAAGCAUCUUGAACCCUGAUUUGUGGUAAGAUGUGUGACGUUUGUUGUGAUACAUUGGAAUGCGUUAUUCCAUUAUGUUGGUAAAAACUCUUGCAUAUAGUCAUACUUUGCAUGAGUGCAUGUGAUGGA